rnacentral:lncRNA from 12 species
GCAGAUCCCGCUUCUGCUCUGCUAGGAAAUGAGGACCCUCCAGUGGCCGGGUCACUGGCUCCUGGGAAAUUGGGGACCUCUACUUCUUUUUUUGGGGGGGGACCUCUACUUCUUAUAACCUGCAGCCACUCUCAAUAAUCACAGCUGAGAAAUGCUAGUGAUAGUGGUGAUAACAAUAGUCAACAUGGAACCACAAAAAUAGCUCAUACAAUGCCACGCGUUGCUCUAAGCGCUUUGCGAACAUUGGUUCAUCUAACCUUUUUUUUAGUUAGUAUCAUCCCCCUUUUACAGAUGAGAAAACGGAGGCACAAAGCAUUUAAUAACCGGCCCAAAGUCACAAAGCUAAAAGGGGACAGAGCUAGGAUCCAAAUUCCAGUAAUCUUCAGAGCCUGUGCUCUUGACUUCUCUUAUACCAACUCCCCCAGCGCUAGUUACCACGUGUAUCUUUACUGUGUGCCAGGCAUUAUAAGUGCUUUGAGUCUAUUAACAUGCUAAUUGUUCUGGGACAACCUUAAGAAGUAAGUACCAUUAGUAUCCUCAUUUUACAGUUAAAGAAACCAAGCACAGAGAAGUUAAGUCACUUGCUCAAAGUCACACAGGAUGUAAAUAUAAAAGGUGACAUCUGAGCCACACAUUCUGAUUACUGAAUGUGUCCUUAAACAUUACACUGUAUUCAUGGAUAGACCCUGGGACUCUAAUGCUCUCCACAUAUAUUUUCUUUUCUUUUCUUUUUUUUUUUACAUUUUCUAUUUCUAGAGAGGAGUACUGAAAUCCCCGUGGGGCAUUUUGGCAUCUACUGGAGCAAGAACAGCUGAUAAUUCCUGAUCUCUUGUGUCCUCCUGAGGUUGAGGAGCUAGUUGUCGCCCAGUGACCCAUGGUGCUGGGAAGGACAGAUGAAUCCCUUUACUGUCCAGCUAAUGCCCGCAGUGACAGGCCAGCAUGGUGCAGGAUGGCAAGACGAAAGCAGUUCCAAGGGAAUAUAGUAGGAGUGUCCCUCCAGCUCUGCUCACGUCCUGGCAAAAGGAGCAGCCCAAGCCUGCUGCUAAACCAUGUUCUAGUGCUGCUCCCCCACCAGGAGACAGAGCGGGGCCAGGGCACCAAGCACUGCUCUAGGGUCACCAGGAAGCUCAAGGGAGUCUCACGUGGUACCUGGUGGAGAAGCGGGCUGCUGCCAGGCAGUUUUGUGCAUUUGGUGGCUUCACUGGAAUCUCAUCAAACAGUUGGCACGAACGCUUCCCUCCUCCAGUGACAGGAGCUCACACUUCAGAAAGCAAUGAACUGCUCUGAAAUGUGAUAACAUCGUCUGUCAAUUUCUGCACACAGAAUGUUGUUUUUUACAGUGAGAAUAUUUAUCUUGGCCUUUGGGAAAUUAAAAGGGCUUCUAGACCAAUGAUCUCCGCUCCCUAGAGCAAGGUUUGGGUGGUAGGUAAGGCCUAAGAGGGCAGGGCAACAUGGGGAGAGGUCUUGGAGAGCUCAGAGGAGCAGCUACCUAACUGUGCUCAACUUGUGGUUGGGUGGGUGGAUGGGGGCGGGAUCUGGGGACAUUCCUGAGCCCGGCAGCAGGCACAGCUGCUAGGGCAGCAGCUGCAGAGCCCCAGAAUGGAUCUGAGCACGGCCUCUCCCUUCUCAGCCUGGCCAACAAACUCCUGCCCCCAGCUCCAUUGCGGGCUGUGGUUGGCAAGGGCAGGCCCUCAGCCCUUCCCCCUGCAGUGAGUUUCAAGCAGGUGCAGCGGGGGCGGGUGUCUGAAGAGGUGAAGGACAAUGGGAACAAAAGUGCAGAGGUGGCACUGUGCCUGGCGUUCUUGCGGUCUGCAGGAGGCCCUGUCACAGUUUUGGUGCAUUUGUAGUUUAAGCCCGACUUCUUUCUGCAGGAGGUGUUCCUGGAAGACGGCGUGCGUGCAGGGGAGCUAUGGAAGUUGAGGGGAGAGGAGACGCGGGGAGGUUUUGAGCAGGGUGAGGGCAAGAUCAGGAGGUGAAUCUACCUGUAGGGUUGCAGGAAGCUGGAAGGAGCGUACGCACCGAAGGCUGUCUGGUGACCCCGGUGGGAGACCACAGAGAGUGGACAAGGGAGGAGGUGGUAGGGAUGGCACGCGGGCAGCAACGGAAGAUUCAGUCUUCUAUCGGUCCCCGCUGUCCUCAGCGAUAUGUUUGAGUCUGGCCUCCCCUAGGGGUACACUCCCAAGGGUCCUGGAGAACACCUGGGGCAUGCGACAAGUCUAAUGGAAAUGGCUCUCAGGAUGCGGGAGGAU